GCAGAAGCAUUGAAGUGAGUGUGCCUUUGUUCCUAUUUUUGUGUGUAACUUACUGCUACUUACUGCAACUUACUGAUACUUAUUGCAAUUUACUGCAACUUCCUGCAACUUCCUGCAGCAUCUAGCAGAUCCAGAUUCAGAAUGCGGAAGAAGUGAUUUCUGAUACUACAACACCAAUUGGAUCAGCAGUGAAUCCAAGAAAACUUGCUAAAUAAAAGCAUCCGGCCCUUCCUUGAAGCUAUCUAAUAUAUCUGCCAGUACAGCUGCUUCAGGAAGAAUCCCACAACUUCUCAUCUCUUGCUAUAACCCUUUUUACUCCAGAACAAAGAAUCAAACACAAUUCAUUUCUUAUCUAUUGGGAUGCUUUGAGUUUUCUUUAAAGUCCGACAGGUGAAUGAGGCGAGAGAGUUUAUUAUAUAUUUGUAUAAAGUAUAAAGGGCAGCCUUUCAUUCCCCUUAUUACCUUUAUUGCUGUUCUCUGUACAUUUUCUAUUUCAUUAAUAUCCCAUUGAGAACUGGAGACCAAAACGGUACUGCGUCUGGUGGAGCAGCUUUUACUCUGGGGAAUCUUCAGCUCCAGUGUUAGUAAAUGCCCUGUAUCCCCUGCACCCCUUAACCAGCUGCCAUUCUGCUCCACUUUACACUCACCUGUACUUACCCUUUAUUUUAGUGCUUUUUUUCUAUUCAUAAAACUGUUUGCGACUAAUUACCAGCAGCUUAUUACGGGAAAAUAAAUAGUGAUAAGAAAGCAAUUAGUAUAAUGACAGUAAAUGACAGAAGUGAAUACACUGCGGCGCCGCACUCCAUUCCGUUCCUGUUAAUUACCGUUAAUAAUGGGGUUGCCAGAAGCCCCCGACACUGGAUCAUGGCAAACGUGGGGUUCAUUGUCCAUUGAAACUGUUAUAUUUAGAUAGAACCCUUUAUUCAUUAAAGAUAUAGUUACCCAUUAUCUGUUGCUAGGGACAGUCAUUCAAUCUACUGCUUGGUUUCUAAGGGAGGCGACCCUGGCAACAAGAUACCAGUUUAUAUUGUGAACUGAAGAGUUGGACAAGACGAGACCUGAACCCAGUGACGCAGUGCAACCUAGAAUACCCCCAUCCUACUGAACCCCAAAAUCUCACUCCCCUCUGUGAAUUUUGCAGACUGGGACUGUAAUUAUACAUGGACCUACACCCCACCCAACUCCUCCUGCAAGAUAUAUAUAUAUAUAUAUAUUCCACAGGUACCCGUAACCCGGCCCUUUAAAGGAAACCCCUGCUUUUCUCCACAAUUCAGCAAUGCCUUCAAAGGAGAAUCAAGUCAAGGGAUUUGCACCAGUGCAGCACAGAUCCCGAAGACAUUUUACUGUUUCCUUUAUCCAAUACGAAGUAUCCCGACCCCUUGCUGUGUCUAUAAAAACACAAUGAAGGACAAACAAAUAAGAUUUCCUUCCUGAAGAAAAAAGAGACGACUAACACUGACAAUGAGAAUAAUAAUAACCCACAUUCCUCUUCUAUCGGGAUCAGAGCCAGUGAUGUUCCUGACAAGUCCAAUAUCCAGGGAAUAGGAUGAUGGGAAGGAUUUAUCCCAAUCCAUUAAAAGCCCAAGAGAAAUAGAGUUUGACAAUUACAAUUUAUUCCUCUCGACAUUGGGUCAGACUGGACCAAAUAAGCCGAGAGAGCAGCACCAGAACCUUCCCUUCCAACUGAGGGGCCACAGUGCCAGAAUCAAUAUCUCUUUCUGUAUAGGAACCGGGGUGCUUGCAAUCUAAAUUCAUUAACACACAAAUAUCAUUAUCUCAGUAAUUACUUUGAUUUAUGGGCAAAUGUGGGAUUUAUGGACCGGGGGAGUUUUCAGCACCAGGACACGGAGUACAAGACCUCCAUAUACAAAAUAUUAUAUUUAUUCACAGACAAAUAAAUCUCUCCUUCUUAUCAGGGUUUGUCAGCAGCUUUUAAAUGUUCCCUGGGAAAUAAAGUGGUUUAUAAUGGGGGCUUUUCAUUUGGGUUCUGAUCAGCUAUUAAUCACCAUUUGGCUCUAAUUAGGGAAAGUGCUCAGGUAUAAAAGCUUUUAUUUGCUUCACUAUGAAGAAUAAAUCCAUAAACAUCA